GGAAAUUUGGAGAGCGACCUCAACCGAAACGGCUCACCAGGGAAGCAAUGCGAAAUUACCUAAAGGAGCGAGGUGAUCAAACAGUGCUAAUACUCCAUGCGAAAGUUGCGCAGAAAUCGUAUGGAAAUGAAAAAAGGUUCUUUUGUCCUCCUCCAUGUGUGUAUCUUAUGGGCAGUGGAUGGAAGAAAAAAAAAGAGCAAAUGGAACGGGAUGGUUGCACUGAGCAAGAGUCACAACCUUGCGCCUUCAUUGGAAUAGGAAACAGUGACCAAGAAAUGCAGCAGCUCAACUUGGAAGGAAAGAAUUAUUGCACUGCCAAAACGUUAUACAUAUCAGACUCAGACAAGAGAAAGCACUUCAUGUUAUCGGUAAAAAUGUUCUAUGGCAAUAGUGACGACAUCGGUGUGUUCCUCAGUAAACGGAUCAAAGUCAUCUCGAAACCUUCUAAAAAGAAACAGUCACUGAAAAAUGCAGACUGUAAGUAUUUUACAGUUAUUUUCUUUACGUAGCAAUUCAUUUUGCCUCCUACUAAUUUUUUCUUUUGUAUUCUGAGGUCUGACUACAAAGUA